rnacentral:rRNA from 1 species
GACGAACGCUGGCGGCGUGCUUAACACAUGCAAGUCGAACGGAAAGGCCCUGCUUUUGUGGGGUGCUCGAGUGGCGAACGGGUGAGUAACACGUGAGUAACCUGCCCUUGACUUUGGGAUAACUUCAGGAAACUGGGGCUAAUACCGGAUAGGAGCUCCUGCUGCAUGGUGGGGGUUGGAAAGUUUCGGCGGUUGGGGAUGGACUCGCGGCUUAUCAGCUUGUUGGUGGGGUAGUGGCUUACCAAGGCUUUGACGGGUAGCCGGCCUGAGAGGGUGACCGGCCAAAUUGGGACUGAGAUAAGGCCCAGACUCCUACGGGAGGCAGAAGUGGGGAAUAUUGCACAAUGGGCGGAAGCCUGAUGCAGCAACGCCGCGUGCGGGGUGACGGCCUUCGGGUUGUAAACCGCUUUCGCCUGUGACGAAGCGUGAGUGACGGUAAUGGGUAAAGAAGCACCGGCUAACUACGUG